UCUCAGAAAUAGAACCAAACGUUUUCCUUCGACCUUUCCUGGAGGUGAUCAGAUCAGAAGAUACUACUGGACCGAUCACAGGAUUAGCACUUACAUCGGUAAAUAAGUUCCUGUCUUAUGGAUUGAUAGAUCCCAGUCAUGAAGGUGCGGCAGAGGGAAUUGAAAACAUGGCUGAUGCUGUCACGCAUGCACGUUUUGUUGGCACGGACCCAGCAAGUGACGAAGUUGUUCUAAUGAAAAUUUUGCAGGUCUUAAGAACGUUACUACUCACUCCUGUUGGUGCUCAUCUAACAAAUGAGUCAGUCUGUGAAAUAAUGCAAUCAUGUUUUCGAAUAUGCUUU